rnacentral:rRNA from 1 species
AUUGAACGCUGGCGGCAGGCCUAACACAUGCAAGUCGAGCGGCAGCGGAAAGUAGCUUGCUACUUUGCCGGCGAGCGGCGGACGGGUGAGUAAUGUCUGGGAAACUGCCUGAUGGAGGGGGAUAACUACUGGAAACGGUGGCUAAUACCGCAUAACGUCGCAAGACCAAAGUGGGGGACCUUCGGGCCUCACGCCAUCGGAUGUGCCCAGAUGGGAUUAGCUAGUAGGUGGGGUAAUGGCUCACCUAGGCGACGAUCCCUAGCUGGUCUGAGAGGAUGACCAGCCACACUGGAACUGAGACACGGUCCAGACUCCUACGGGAGGCAGCAGUGGGGAAUAUUGCACAAUGGGCGCAAGCCUGAUGCAGCCAUGCCGCGUGUGUGAAGAAGGCCUUCGGGUUGUAAAGCACUUUCAGCGAGGAGGAAGGCAUCAUACUUAAUACGUGUGGUGAUUGACGUUACUCGCAGAANAAGCACCGGCUAACUCCGUGCCAGCAGCCGCGGUAAUACGGAGGGUGCAAGCGUUAAUCGGAAUUACUGGGCGUAAAGCGCACGCAGGCGGUUUGUUAAGUCAGAUGUGAAAUCCCCGCGCUUAACGUGGGAACUGCAUUUGAAACUGGCAAGCUAGAGUCUUGUAGAGGGGGGUAGAAUUCCAGGUGUAGCGGUGAAAUGCGUAGAGAUCUGGAGGAAUACCGGUGGC